rnacentral:rRNA from 1 species
UACGUAGGGUGCGAGCGUUAAUCGGAAUUACUGGGCGUAAAGCGUGCGCAGGCGGUUUUGUAAGCCAGACGUGAAGUCCCCGGGCUUAACCGUGGGAAUGGCGUUUGGGACUGCAAGGCUCGAGUAUGGCAGAGGGGACUAGAAUUCCUGGUGUAGCAGUGGAAUGCGUAGAUAUCAGGAGGAAUACCGGAUGGCGAAGGCAGGUCCCUGGGCUAAAACUGACGCUCAUGCACGAAAGCGUGGGGAGC